rnacentral:tRNA from 1 species
GCUGGGGCUCAGUGGUAGAGUGUUUGCCCAGCAUGUGUGAGGCCCUGGGUUCGAUCCUCAGCACUGCA